AGCCGGCCUGAGAGGGCGACCGGCCACACUGGGACUGAGACACGGCCCAGACUCCUACGGGAGGCAGCAGUGGGGAAUAUUGCACAAUGGGCGGAAGCCUGAUGCAGCGACGCCGCGUGAGGGAUGACGGCCUUCGGGUUGUAAACCUCUUUCAGCAGGGACGAAGCGUAAGUGACGGUACCUGCAGAAGAAGCACCGGCCAACUACGUGCCAGCAGCCGCGGUAAGACGUAGGGUGCGAGCGUUGUCCGGAUUUAUUGGGCGUAAAGAGCUCGUAGGCGGCUUGUCGCGUCGACCGUGAAAACUUGGGGCUCAACCCCNAGCCUGCGGUCGAUACGGGCAGGCUAGAGUUCGGUAGGGGAGACUGGAAUUCCUGGUGUAGCGGUGAAAUGCGCAGAUAUCAGGAGGAACACCGGUGGCGAAGGCGGGUCUCUGGGCCGAUACUGACGCUGAGGAGCGAAAGCGUGGGGAGCGAACAGGAUUAGAUACCCUGGUAGUCCACGCUGUAAACGUUGGGCGCUAGGUGUGGGGGGCCUCUCCGGUUUCCUGUGCCGCAGCUAACGCAUUAAGCGCCCCGCCUGGGGAGUACGG
rnacentral:rRNA from 1 species